ensembl:lncRNA
AUCGCAGUGGUUCACAGUUCACUGGAGCAAGGCAAUGGCUUAAGCUUCAGUCUGUUCUGUACUUAAAGCUAUUGUAUGGAUUCAGAAGACUUGGACUUUAGUCAUAAAUCUAUAGAGUCAUAUGGACUACUUUCAUGAUGCUUUGCUUAUGUCUUUGGUGAUUUUUGCAACUUAAGUGAGGUCAGCUGUCAUUGUAUAUUAAAACAACUUGAUUGAAGAUCUUUACAAGUUUGGAGCGACAAGAGUGUGUGCUCUGUGUACACAUGCUGUGCUGGUUUUGAUCCCCAUACCUUAUCUCCUUGUGAAAAAGACAGGUCAGUAUUGAUCGCUGACUCCUGAAAUGUCACCAGUGGUUCUAAGUUUUGAAACAAAACUUACACCCAAGAGCACAAUGAUAAGUUUCCACUGGGUCAGAGCCAAUGAGAGAAGUGAAUGGACAUAUAUGUUGGCCUGGUUGAUUGCUGAGCUGUCUCUUUUAGGUUGGGCUGUCAGGUUAUGGAGGGGAGGCUGGAGCAGGGAUCUGUUCUGUCAUCUUGCUCAGCCUGUCUUCAUGCUUCAUUAGCAGGGCCUGUCAGAUGACACUCGUGGGUCUCAGCUAAUCACUGUAAUGGCUGUUGGAGGCCUGACAUUCACUGUCUGACCACCACCUAUAGCUCCGCUGACCUAGAACAUUCUCUCCUUGGGCCUUCC